rnacentral:rRNA from 1 species
UACGUAGGGUGCAAGCGUUGUCCGGAUUUAUUGGGCGUAAAGAGCGUGUAGGCGGCCAGGUAGGUCUGCUGUGAAAACUCGAGGCUCAACCUCGAGACGUCGGCGGAAACCAUCUGGCUAGAGUCCGGAAGAGGAGAGUGGAAUUCCUGGUGUAGCGGUGAAAUGCGCAGAUAUCAGGAAGAACACCUAUGGCGAAGGCAGCUCUCUGGGACGGUACUGACGCUGAGACGCGAAAGCGUGGGGAGCGAACAGG